rnacentral:rRNA from 1 species
GUUGGGCUGUUCGCCCAUUAAAGAGGCACGCGAGCUGGGUUCAGAACGUCGUGAGACAGUUCGGUCCCUAUCCGUCGUGGGCGUAGGAAAUUUGAAAGGAGCUGUCCUUAGUACGAGAGGACCGGGAUGGACAAACCGCUGGUGUAUCAGUUGUCGUGCCAACGGCAUAGCUGAGUAGCUAAGUUUGGACUGGAUAAGUGCUGAAGGCAUCUAAGCACGAAGCCACCCUUAAGAUAAGAUUUCCCAUUACGCAAGUAAGUAAGACACCAGGAAGACCACCUGGUAGAUAGGUCUCAGGUGAAAGAGUAGUAAUACUUGUAGCUAAGAGAUACUAAUAUGUCGAGGACUUGACCUA